AACGAACGCUGGCGGCGUGGAUAAGACAUGCAAGUCGAACGGGAUUAUUUUUGUAGCAAUACAGAAAUAAUUCAGUGGCGAACGGGUGCGUAACACGUGGGCAAUCUGCCGAAAAGUGGGGGAUAGCUCGCCGAAAGGCGAAUUAAUACCGCAUGUGGUGAGGGACGACAUCUUCCUGAAUCCAAAGCCGGGGCAACCUGGCGCUUUUUGAGGAGCCCGCGGCCUAUCAGCUAGUUGGCGGGGUAACGGCCCACCAAGGCUAUGACGGGUAGCUGGUCUGAGAGGACGACCAGUCACACUGGAACUGAGACACGGUCCAGACACCUACGGGUGGCAGCAGUCGAGAAUUUUUCUCAAUGGGGGAAACCCUGAAGGAGCGACGCCGCGUGGAGGAUGAAGGCUUU
rnacentral:rRNA from 1 species